rnacentral:rRNA from 1 species
AGAGUUUGAUCCUGGCUCAGGAUGAACGCUAGCUACAGGCUUAACACAUGCAAGUCGAGGGGAAGCGACAUCGAAAGCUUGCUUUUGAUGGGCGUCGACCGGCGCACGGGUGAGUAACGCGUAUCCAACCUGCCCAUCACUUGGGGAUAACCUUGCGAAAGUAAGACUAAUACCCAAUGAUAUCUCUAGAAGGCAUCUGAAAGAGAUUAAAGAUUUAUCGGUGAUGGAUGGGGAUGCGUCUGAUUAGCUUGUUGGCGGGUAACGGCCACCAAGCAACGAUCAGUAGGGUUCUGAGAGGAAGGUCCCCANAUUGGAACUGAGACACGGUCCAAACUCCGUACGGGAGGCA